rnacentral:rRNA from 2 species
AUGGACGAAAGUCUGACGGAGCACGCCGCGUGAGUGAUGAAGGUUUUCGGAUCGUAAAACUCUGUUGUUAGGGAAGAACAAGUACCGUUCGAAUAGGGCGGCACCUUGACGGUACCUAACCAGAAAGCCACGGCUAACUACGUGCCAGCAGCCGCGGUAAUACGUAGGUGGCAAGCGUUGUCCGGAAUUAUUGGGCGUAAAGCGCGCGCAGGCGGUUUCUUAAGUCUGAUGUGAAAGCCCCCGGCUCAACCGGGGAGGGUCAUUGGAAACUGGGGAACUUGAGUGCAGAAGAGGAGAGUGGAAUUCCACGUGUAGCGGUGAAAUGCGUAGAGAUGUGGAGGAACACCAGUGGCGAAGGCGACUCUCUGGUCUGUAACUGACGCUGAGGCGCKAAAGCGUGGGGAGCGAACAGGAUUAGAUACCCUGGUAGUCCACGCCGUAAACGAUGAGUGCUAAGUGUUARAGGGUUUCCGCCCUUUAGUGCUGCAGCAAAC